GAUGAACGCUGGCGGCGUGCCUAAUACAUGCAAGUCGAACGGAGGAUGUAGCAAUAUAUCCUUAGUGGCGAACGGGUGAGUAACGCGUUGGUGACCUGCCCCGAAGCGGGGGAUAACAGUUCGAAAGGAUUGCUAAUACCCCAUAUUGUCAGUAGGAUUAGAUGCCUGCUGUCUAAAGGAGUAAUUCGCUUUGGGAGGGACCUACGUCCCAUCAGCUAGUUGGUAGGGUAACGGCUUACCAAGGCUACGACGGGUAGGGGACCUGAGAGGGUGGCCCCCCACAAUGGAACUGAAACACGGUCCAUACACCUACGGGUGGCUG
rnacentral:rRNA from 1 species